rnacentral:rRNA from 1 species
AUUGAACGCUGGCGGCAUGCUUUACACAUGCAAGUCGGACGGCAGCACAGAGAAGCUUGCUUCUUGGGUGGCGAGUGGCGAACGGGUGAGUAAUAUAUCGGAACGUACCGAGUAAUGGGGGAUAACUAAUCGAAAGAUUAGCUAAUACCGCAUAUUCUCUGAGGAGGAAAGCAGGGGACCUUCGGGCCUUGCGUUAUUCGAGCGGCCGAUAUCUGAUUAGCUAGUUGGUGGGGUAAAGGCCUACCAAGGCGACGAUCAGUAGCGGGUCUGAGAGGAUGAUCCGCCACACUCGGACUGAGACACGGCCCAGAUUCCUACGGGAGGCAGCAGUGGGGAAUUUUGGAGAAUGUGCGCAAGCCUGAUCCAGCCAUGCCGCGUGUCUGAAGAAGGCCUUCGGGUUGUAAAGGACUUUUGUCAGGGAAGAAAAGGCUGUUGCUAAUACCGACAGCUGAUGACGGUACCUGAAGAAUAAGCACCGGCUAACUACGUG